AUUGAACGCUGGCGGCAUGCCUUACACAUGCAAGUCGAACGGCAGCACGGGAGCAAUCCUGGUGGCGAGUGGCGAACGGGUGAGUAAAGUAUCGGAACGUGCCCAGUCGUGGGGGAUAACGUAGCGAAAGUUACGCUAAUACCGCAUACGAUCUAUGGAUGAAAGCGGGGGAUCGCAAGACCUCGCGCGAUUGGAGCGGCCGAUAUCAGAUUAGGUAGUUGGUGGGGUAAAGGCUCCCCAAGCCGACGAUCUGUAGCUGGUCUGAGAGGACGACCAGACACACUGGGACUGGGACACGGCCCAGACUCCUACGGGAGGCAGCAGUGGGGAAUUUUGGACAAUGGGCGCAAGCCUGAUCCAGCCAUGCCGCGUGCAGGAUGAAGGCCUUCGGGUCGUAAACUGCUUUUGUACGGAACGAAAAGGUUUGACUUAAUACGUUGGACUCAUGACGGUACCGUAAGAAUAAGCACCGGCUAACUACGUGCCAGCAGCCGCCGUAAAAC
rnacentral:rRNA from 1 species